rnacentral:rRNA from 1 species
CUAUAGCCAUACCUGAAUGUGCCCGAUCUUGUUUGAUCUUGGAAGCCAAAGAAAGGCCAGGCCUGGUUAUUACUUGGAUAGUAGGAGGGAACAGGAGCUCAUGUAGC